UUUAAGUGCAACAAAUUUCCGUGUCUAAUUUUGACCAUCCGUCUUAUUUGAAAAUUUUGUAUAAUUAGUAUUUUUAUUGUUAUGAGAUAAUAAAACAUGAAUAUUACUUUAUACGUAAUUUAUGUUUAAAAUUUUUGAAAUUUUUUUUAAAUAAAACAAAUGGUCAAAGUUCUAUACGGAAAAUUAUGGCUGCAUUUAAA
rfam:Oryza barthii chromosome 3, whole genome shotgun sequence.